GAUGAACGCUAGCGGCAGGCUUAAUACAUGCAAGUCGAGGGGCAGCAGGUUCGUAGCAAUACGGAUGCUGGCGACCGGCAAACGGGUGCGGAACACGUACACAACCUUCCUUUGAGCGGGGAAUAGCCCAGAGAAAUUUGGAUUAAUACCCCAUAGUAUAGCGGAAAGGCAUCUUUUUGCUAUUAAAGAUUUAUCACUUAAAGAUGGGUGUGCGGAUGAUUAGGUAGUUGGCGGGGUAACGGCCCACAAAGCCGACGAUCAGUAACUGGUGUGAGAGCACGACCAGUCACACGGGCACUGGGACACGGGCCCGACUCCUACGGGAGGCAGCAGUAAGGAAUAUUGGUCAAUGGACGAAAGUCUGAACCAGCCAUGCCGCGUGGAGGAUGAAGGUCCUCUGGAUUGUAAACUUCUUUUAUAUGGGACGAAAAAGGGAAUUCUUUCCCGUCUGACGGUACCAUAUGAAUAAGCACCGGCUAACUCCGUGCCAGCCGCCGCCGUAAUAC
rnacentral:rRNA from 1 species